CUAAACAUCCAGCCUUCUCCCCCAAUCUCUUCUAAACACAAACUAAAAUAUUCUAAAAGUCUAGUAAAGAAGAUUAAAAAACUCCUAAGAGCUGUAAAUCUGUACCGCAAGGGAUAGAUGAAAUAAAAAUGAAAUAACUUCAAGCACAAAAUAGUAGAGACAUACUCUCGUACCUUUUGCAUCAUGAUUUAGCUAGUCUAAUUAGGCAAAAAGACCUAAAGUCUAACCCCCCGAAACUAAGUGAGCUAAUUUAGGGCCGCUUUAUGAGCCCACCCGUCUAUGUUGUAAAAUAGUGGGAAGACCCUAAAAUAGAGGUGACAGACCUAACGAACUUAGUGAUAGCUGGUUUCUCAAGAAAAGAAUAUAGUUCAACAUAAAAUAAAAUUAACCUAUAAAAUUAUCACCCCCUUAUUUUAAAGCAAUUCAAAUGAGGUACAGCCCAUUUGAUACAGGACUCAACCUUCACUAAUGGCUAAUAUCCGAUUCACACCUAGAAGUAGGCUUAAAAACAGCCACCUUUUAAAAAGCGUCACAGCUUAACUAUGUAAAUCUUAAUCUACAAAUUACCAUCGACCCCUUUUACAGUACUGAGAACCUCUAUAAAUCUAUAGAGCUUUUUAUGCUAAAACUAGUAACAAGAGAUCCUUUCUCUCUUUAAUGCAAGCUUAACCUAGUAUGAACAACUACUAGCAAUUAACAGAAUUAAACAAAUGUAGUAACUCCACUAGAAAAAUCUACCUUACCCACUGUUAACCUAACACCAGAGCAUUUCAAGAAAGAUUUAAAGAAAAAGAAGGAAUUCAGCAAACAAUAGCCCCGCCUGUUUACCAAAAACAUCGCCUCUUGACCCCCUAUAAGAGGUCCAGCCUGCCCAGUGACUCUGUUCAACGGCCGCGGUAUCCUAACCGUGCGAAGGUAGCGUAAUCACUUGUCUUCUAAAUAGAGACCAGUAUGAAAGGCACCACGAGGGCUAAACUGUCUCCUUUCUCUAAUCAGUGAACCUAAUCUCCCCGUGAAGAAGCGGGGAUCUUCCUAUAAGACGAGAAGACCCUAUGGAGCUUAAAACAUCGUAACACCUGCUAAAUCUUAAAUUCCCUCCUAGCACACUGAUUACAAGUUUUUGGUUGGGGCGACCAUGGAGAAAAAUAGAUCCUCCAUAUUGAAAGAGAGCCUCCCUAAACAAUAAGUUACAACUUUAUGCAUCAAUAAAUUGACAUUCUUGACCCAACAUUUGAUCAACGAACCAAGUUACCCUAGGGAUAACAGCGCAAUCCACUUCAAGAGCCCCUAUCGACAAGUGGGCUUACGACCUCGAUGUUGGAUCGGGGUAUCCCAGUGGUGCAGCCACUACUAAAGGUUCGUUUGUUCAACGAUUAAAACCCCACGUGAUCUGAGUUCAGACCGGAGCAAUCCAGGUCAGUUUCUAUCUAUAAAGAGCUCUUUUCAGUACGAAAGGACCAAAACAGCAUGGCCUAUGCCAUCUUAAGCCAUAAUUAAUCACUUUUGACUACAGCUCAAAAAACUAUUAAUCUCCCACCUCCACCUUCAAGAAAAGAAC
rnacentral:rRNA from 1 species